rnacentral:rRNA from 1 species
UCCUGCCCAGUGACAUACGUGUUCAACGGCCGCGGUACCCUGACCGUGCAAAGGUAGCAUAAUCACUCGCCUUUUAAUUGGAGGCUAGUAUGAAUGGACAAACGAGGGUUUAACUGUCUCCUUUAUUCCAAUAUAAAUUAACCUCCAGGUGAAGAUGCCUGAAUAAAAAUGAAAGACAAGAAGACCCUGUUGAGCUUUACCUUACACGUGUUUAAUACUAAAUAUACUAACACCUAUUCUUCACUACCAGGUUCUGUUGGGGCGACAAGGGAAUAAAUUAAUCUUCCCCCACAACACAGAUUAUUGAUCACACUAUUGACCCUAUAUUAGAGCAAAAGAACAAGCUACCACAGGGAUAACAGGCUAAUUCUUCUUGAGAGCCCACAUUAACAGAAGAGUUUGGCACCUCGAUGUUGGCUUGGGACACCCUAUAUGGUGCAGCAGCCUAAUAGGAG